rnacentral:rRNA from 1 species
UACAGAGGGUGCGAGCGUUAAUCGGAAUUACUGGGCGUAAAGCGCACGUAGUCGGCUUUGCAAGUCGGGUGUGAAAUCCCCGGGCUCAACCUGGGAACUGCAUCCGAGACUGCAUUGCUAGAGUAUGGGAGAGGGAAGCGGAAUUUCUGGUGUAGCAGUGAAAUGCGCAGAUAUCAGGAGGAACAACGGGGGCGAAGGCGGCACUCUGGGCCGGUACUGACGCUGAGGAGCGAAAGCGUGGGGAGCGAACAGG